AGCUUAGUGUCCGUUCAGCUACCGAUUCAUUUGGACAAUCUGGAGGUACUUAUGGGCCUUUGUUCGGAAUAUGGGUGCAAAACUUACUUAGCAGAGGUUUGGAAUCGGAGGACCGUUGCGUAAUCAUGGCCAAGCACCACGCGAGUUAGUUUUCUAGUUCCUUGAGCAUGAGGAUUGUUAUUCAAGUCUUGACAGAAAUCCGUUGAAGAACCCUUUUCGGACGAUCUGGAUGGAGGUAAACUUCGCCACAGUUCAAAGCUCACAGGAGUCCAGAUUGACAAGUUGCUCUUCGGGCAGUUUGUCUGUUCAACACCUUCUUGACAUCUCUUUCGCUCCAAACGUGGGUUAAAACCACCGAGGCAUUUUACAUGAAUUAAUUUACUAUAGUACUACCACUUCCACUUGAAGAACAGUGGUGGAUUCUCGGUCUGCCCAGAGCAAUAUCAGAGAAACGUUUGACUGUUUCUGUGACAGGUGAGAUAAGGGCGGGCACAAUGAACCUGUUCAUUAUUUUUUGUGGAUUCUUAAGGACAAUGGCAUCUUAAAGAUCAUCAUGGAGCCCCUCUUUCUCGCCGUGGUCGCUACCAACCCUCAACGAUUUAUUCAAUUAUGGUUGAGACUCGUCAGGGGUGGGUUGGCUUUUUUAGGGAACCUGAUGAAUGUGGACCUCCGGAAAAUUGGGCUGUCCACCUUGGAUUCCCCUGAACUCAUCAUUGCUUGGCCAGUUAUUUCAGGGAUGAAAAGUUGCAAGUCAAAUACACUCAUACCUCAACCAAUCAAGGCCAAUCAAGAUGAUUCAGUGCAAAAUCCAUUGGUGGCAACCCUGUGGAUGCUUUGGGGAACGAAAGUAUCGGAUCACACCCGAAUGUUUGGAGAGUUCGGUUCAUUUUCAGUUGUUGUGAAGGAGCUGUCGCGGCUUUUUCGUCAAAGUGGUGACAUCUCAAGGUCAGAAUUGGGCGGAGGAGAUGGAAUCCUUGCAAACUCGUAAGCUCAUUAAAACAUCCCCAAUCCCAAUUAACGGGCUUUCAAAAUGUUGCGACGAAGGCAGGACCCAUUGUCCGAGGUGCAUGGUCAAGGAGGAGCAUCCAAGAGAAUCAAAACAAAUGAGCCGAGUCGAAAUCAGUGACGGGUAUGGGUCCGAAAUGCUCAAAUGCUCAGUCUUAUUUCGGGGAUUCGAGCCUCUCGUUCAUACAAUGGGUACUUUUCUUCUUUGAGUAGAGCUGGAUACUUAGUUUGGUGAGCCUGGUCAUUUAUGGGUUUGGCUAGCAUGACAAUAUCAGAGGGGAAUUGUAAUUUAUGGGCUAUAUACUGUUUGCUUUCAACGUGAGCGCGUGUGCCAUUGCUAGCUAAUCAAGGGUGGCCAUCAUUUAUAAUCUACUAGUGCUUACUUUUGAGGUGGAAAAACAAAAGAGCACUAAAAGAAAAUCUGCAGAGCCAAGGUUGAUCCUCUUCUAUAUUUUUAGAUUGCACGUCAUUCAUUGUAUCUUUCAGACACUCUUACUUUUGCAUGUCAUGCAAUGGGCAAAAUAGCAAAGAAGAAUGCCUUUCUAAUCGAUUGGAUCACUAUUUUUUACUGAUAUACACUUCCAUACUAACGCAAGUGAAUAUUCUCAAAAACCUAUAACUCAUUUUAUUGCAAAAUGUUGUAUUUGAUGUAUUCGAAAUGAAUUGUUUUAUUCGCUUU